rnacentral:rRNA from 1 species
UACAGAGGUCCCAAGCGUUUGUUCGGAUUCAUUGGGCGUAAAGGGUGCGUAGGCGGUGAGGUAAGUUGGAUGUGAAAUCCCAGGGCUCAACCCUGGAACUGCAUUCAAUACUGCCUUGCUAGAGUACUGGAGAGGAGAUUGGAAUUCACGGUGUAGCAGUGAAAUGCGUAGAUAUCGUGAGGAAGACCAGUGGCGAAGGCGAAUCUCUGGACAGUAACUGACGCUGAGGCACGAAGGCUAGGGGAGCAAACGGG